rnacentral:lncRNA from 1 species
CUGCCGGCAAGGAUUUUCCGACGGAGGAGGGUUGCUUCCGGGGUUUUUGGGGAUGGGGAGUCCGAUUCCGGCAUCGGUUUGCGGAAAGGACGCCGGCAGGAGGCCGAAUCGACGAUGGCAGCCUCUUCGUCCUUCGUCGGUGUCGCGCAGAAAGGGAGGAGGGGAAGGCGCUGCUGAACGGUGGCGGCGAGCUGGGCGGCACGUAGGCAGUGCGGGGGAGAAGGCAGUCGACGGGGAGAGGGAG